UACAGAGGGUGCAAGCGUUAAUCGGAAUUACUGGGCGUAAAGCGUGCGCAGACGGUUGCGUAAGUCAGAUGUGAAAUCCCCGGGCUCAACCUGGGAACUGCAUCUGUGACUGCAUCGCUGGAGUGCGGCAGAGGGGGAUGGAAUUCCGCGUGUAGCAGUGAAAUGCGUAGAUAUGCGGAGGAACACCGAUGGCGAAGGCAAUCCCCUGGGCCUGCACUGACGCUCAUGCACGAAAGCGUGGGGAGCAAACAGG
rnacentral:rRNA from 1 species